GAUGAACGCUAGCGGCAGGCUUAAUACAUGCAAGUCGAACGGUAACAGGGUAGCAAUACCGCUGACGAGUGGCGAAAGGGUGCGUAACGCGUAUGCAACCUACCUGUAACUGGGGCAUAGCCCGGAGAAAUUCGGAUUAAUUCCCCAUAACAUUGCGAAGUGGCAUCACUUUGCAAUUAAAACCCCGGUGGUUACAGAUGGGCAUGCGUCACAUUAGUUUGUUGGUGAGGUAACGGCUCACCAAGACUACGAUGUCUAGGGGUUCUGAGAGGGUUAUCCCCCGCACGGGUACUGAGACACGGACCAGACUCCUACGGGAGGCAGCAGUAGGGAAUAUUGGGCACUGGACGCAAGUCUGACCCAGCCAUGCCGCGUGAAGGAUUGACGGCCCUAGUGGUUGUAAACUUCUUUUGUACGGGAAUAAACCCCUGGUCGUGAACCGGGGCUGAAGGUACCGUAAGAAUAAGCAUCGGCUAACUCCGUGCCAGCAGCCGCAGUAAGAC
rnacentral:rRNA from 1 species